rnacentral:lncRNA from 1 species
CUCUUUUUUUCUCUUUCUCUCAUUCUCGCGCUCCCUUACCCUUUCUCUCGCCCUCCCUAUCUCUCCCUGUUUUUCUCUCUCACUCCUCUCGCACUAGCUCUCGCUCUCCCUAUCUCUCUCCCUGUCUCUCUCUUUCUCUCUUUCUUUCUCUUUUUCUCAGUGUAAACACAUUCUGGCCAGGCCACAGCUCCCCUCAUGCUCUCACAUCACACUCCCCCUACAAGUCUCUGUUAACAUUCUCACUUUGUGAUUAGAGAGAUACCCUUCCAGGGCCACCCACGCCCAACUAACACCACACGCCAUCCCCUACAUAGAGUGUGAUGUGUGUGUGUCCCACAUUCAGCUUAAAAUCAUACUUCACAAAACCACAUUUAAUUCCACACAGUGUGCUCUCAGGCUUUAAAUGAAUGUGUAAUCACGUAGCUAGCUGUCGAGUCCAACUGGGAAACAAGACUGGGUUACGCUGAUCCAGGAUGUAGGGAACAGGGAACAGAACAAGCUGGUGAGUGACCUUACUUCCUGUCUGGUGUGACUCUUCAGAACUCCUGCUCCCAGACCCACCAAAGUGCCAACUGCCAACUCACACAGUCCCUCCAGCUUUAAUGUUUGUUUUAUUUAACCCUAAAAUUACUAAGGUAAGUUGACUGAGAAGAGAAUACAUUCUGAUUCACAGCACAGAAGAGGAGGAGAAAUAAGAGGAGAGGGGUUGGAUGAGCCAAUUGGAAGGUGAGAAUAAUUAGGUGAUGGUCAUGAUAGUAUGAGGGCCAGGUUGAGAAUUUAGCCUGGAAACCAAGGUUAACACCCAUACUGCUACAUGUUAUUUAUUUAGCCUGGACACCAGGGUUAACACCCAUACUACUACAUGUUGUUUAGCCUGGACACCAGGGUUAUCACCCAUACUACUACAUGUUGUUUAUUUAGCCAGGACACCAGGGUUAACACCCAUACUACUACAUGUUGUUUAUUUAGCCUGGACACCAGGGUUAACACCCAUACUACUACAUGUUGUUUAUUUAGCCAGGACACCAGGGUUAACACCAAUACGACUACAUGUUGUUUAUUUAGCCUGGACACCAGGGUUAUCACCCAUACUACUACAUGUUGUUUAUUUAGCCAGGACACCAGGGUUAACACCCAUACUACACAUGUUGUUUAGCCUGGACACCAGGGUUAUCACCCAUACUACUACAUGUUGUUUAUUUAGCCUGGACACCAGGGUUAUCACCCAUACUACUACAUGUUGUUUAUUUAGCCAGGACACCAGGGUUAUCACCCAUACUACUACAUGUUGUUUAUUUAGCCUGGACACCAGGGUUAUCACCCAUACUACUACAUGUUGUUUAUUUAGCCUGGACACCAGGGUUAUCACCCAUACUACUACAUGUUGUUUAUUUAGCCUGGACACCAGGGUUAACACCCAUACUACACAUGUUGUUUAGCCUGGACACCAGGGUUAUCACCCAUACUACUACAUGUUGUUUAUUUAGCCUGGAUACCAGGGUUAACACCCAUACUUACUGUGACUCGGUUUGACAUCUUAUUCUUAGGGCAACACCGUUUGAAGGGUGUAAGUCCAUGACUAUCCAGCCACCACCCUCUAACCUCCCCCACCGUUCCCUCCUUCUUUCCCUCCCUUUCUCUUCCCAUUGUCUCAAGGAGAAAGUGAGGCCUGCCUUGUUUCAGAAACAGUCAGACAAGUGUCAACGUCUCCUGUGGAUCACAUUGCAUGUGGAGCGCAGCCAUGUGGACAAAUUAAGCAUCCUGACUGGUUGCAUCACUGCCUGGUAUUGCAACUGCCCGGGCUCCGACCGCAAGGCACUACAAAGGGUAGUGUAUACGGCCCAGUACAUCACUGGGGCCAAGCUUCCUGCCAUCCACAACCUCUAUAUCAGGCGGUGUCAGAGGAAGGCCCUAAAAAUGGUCAAAGACUCCAGCCACCCUGUCAUAGACUGUUCUCUCUGCUACCACACGACAAGCGAUACCCGAGCGCCAAGUCGAGGUCCAGGGCUUCUUAGCAGCUUCUACCCCCACCCCUCUUUUAUACAGCUGCUACUCUCUGUUUAUUAUCUAUGCAUAGUCACUUUACCAACAUGUACAUAUUACUUCAAUUACCUCAACUAUACGGUGCCUCAGCACAUUGACUCUGUACCGGUACCCCCUGUAUAAAGCCUCGCUUGUUAUUUUACUGCUGCUGUUUAAAUAUUUCUUACUUUUAUUUUCUAUUUUUUACUUAUCUAUUUUUUACUUAAUGCUUAUUUUUAUUAACUUCUUAAAGCAUUGUCGGUUAAGGGCUUGUAAGUAAGUUGUAUUCGGCGC